rnacentral:lncRNA from 1 species
AGUACAUAUGGCCUCCUACACAAAGAUGAUCCUUGGGCCAGCAGCAUGGCUGUCACCUAGGGAUUUGUAAACGCAGACUCCUGGUUUGAAUUCAACUGAAUCAAAAAGAUUCAAAGUAGGCUGAUUCAAGAUGAAGAAAUGCUGUGGCACAGCCCAGAUCUCUUGGCCUGCCACAUUGGUAAAGCAGUGAGAGGGGGCAGUUUGAAGAAUGAAGGUGAAGCAGAGUGGAGCCCGGUAUUGGAUCCAGGAACGUGUUCACCUGGAAUUUAGGAGUCACAGGUACCACUCUGGGUACAGAAAAGGAGGAGCAUCUUGCAAUUUGCACAUCACAUGAAUCUGCAUCUCCAUCUAUCCAUCUAUCUGAAAACAUCAUAAGGAAAAAGAGGCGGAUCAGACCAACUAUAGCUUGGUCUGUGCUAUAGUUUGUGGCCCAGAGUUCAUCUCUUCUCAAUCCUCUUCAACUUUAUGUGAAUAGGAACUUUGAACCCUGUAGGACGCUACUUGGUAUAUCUAGGAAAUACAGCUAUUCAGGUUACAAUUU